rnacentral:ncRNA from 1 species
GCGAGCCGUGUGACCGAAAGGUUCAAGCACGGUUCUGCGGGGGACCGAUGGAAAAGUGCUUAAGAUAUAUUGAGUAACUCGCCAACGGUCUACCCAAC